rnacentral:rRNA from 1 species
UGCGAAUUGCAGAAUCCGUGAAUCAUCAAAAUUUUGAACGCACAUUGCACUUCUUCUUUGGAGAAGUAUUGCUGUUUGAGUGUC